rnacentral:rRNA from 1 species
UACGAAGGGGGCUAGCGUUGCUCGGAAUCACUGGGCGUAAAGCGCACGUAGGCGGCUUUUUAAGUCAGAGGUGAAAUCCCAGAGCUCAACUCUGGAACUGCCUUUGAUACUGUCGAUCUGGAGUAUGGAAGAGGUGAGUGGAAUUCCGAGUGUAGAGGUGAAAUUCGUAGAUAUUCGGAGGAACACCAGUGGCGAAGGCGGCUCACUGGUCCAUUACUGACGCUGAGGUGCGAAAGCGUGGGGAGCAAACAGG